rnacentral:rRNA from 1 species
UACGUAGGGUGCAAGCGUUAAUCGGAAUUACUGGGCGUAAAGCGUGCGCAGGCGGUUCGUUGUGUCCGUCGUGAAAGCCCCGGGCUUAACCUGGGAACUGCGAUGGAAACUAGCGAGCUGGAGUGUGGCAGAGGGGGGUGGAAUUCCGCGUGUAGCAGUGAAAUGCGUAGAGAUGCGGAGGAAUACCGAUGGCGAAGGCAGCCUCCUGGGAUAACACUGACGCUCAUGCACGAAAGCGUGGGGAGCAAACAGG